rnacentral:tRNA from 1 species
GGGCUUGUAGUCUAGUGGCUAUGACAUCUCGUUGACUUCGAGAAGAUCGCAGGUUCGAGUCCUGCCAGGCCCA